UAACCGUAGGUGAACCUGCGGAAGGAUCAUUAUUGUAUAACCGAGGUGCGAGGGCAGUCGCUGACCCGAAAGGUCGUGCACGCCCGAGUGCCCUCACACACAUCCAUCUCACCCCUAUGUGCACCACCGCGUGGGUCCCCCUUUGGCUUGUUCGGAGGGGGGCUUACGUUUUCACACAAACUUUGUAUGCAGUGUAGAAUGUAUUUUUUGUUUUUGCGAUCACGCAAUCAAUACAACUUUCAACAACGGAUCUCUUGGCUCUC
rnacentral:misc_RNA from 1 species